rnacentral:rRNA from 1 species
AGGAUGUGGUUUAAUUCGACGCAACGCGAAGAACCUUUACCUAGGCUUUGACAUGCUGGCGAAAACCGUGGAAACACGGUCCUCCCGCAAGGGACGCUAGUACAGGUGGUGCAUGGCUGUCGUCAGCUCGUGUCGUGAGAUGUUCGGUUAAGUCCGCUAACGAGCGCAACCCUCGUCGUAUGUUAUAUGUGUCAUACGAGACUGCCGGUAAAAAGCCGGAGGAAGGUGAGGAUGAUGUCAAGUCAGCAUGACCUUUAUAUCCAGGGCUACACACACGCUACAAUGGUCUGUACAAUGGGUAGCCAAGCCGCGAGGCGGAGCCAAUCCUGAAAGCAGGCCUCAGUUCAGAUUGCAGUCUGCAACUCGACUGCAUGAAGCCGGAAUCGCUAGUAAUCGCAGGUCAGCAUACUGCGGUGAAUACGUUCCCGGGUCUU